CUGUGAUGCACUUUUUGAUUUUACUCGUGUUUGUUCCCCAUGGUAGGUUAGGAAACAAAUGAAAAGCUUCACAGUAGUGGCAAUGAGAGACCUGGGAGGUAGUUUAUUAAUUUAGAAUUAUCCACAUAUGAGAUUGCUUUGCAUUAAAUUAAUGGAAGUCCGAAGAUUGAAGUUGGGAGCACACGUGAGCAUUUGAUAAAUUUCUGAGUGCAGUUUAAAAUGGACAACUCUAUAUAUAAAACAGAGGAAAUAAUUGAUGUAGCUGGAUGUAGAAAUUAAUGCCAAUGAUGAAGUUUUAAGUCCCACCUGUUCUGUUUUGGAUCACAGAAUGAUAGUUUGGAAUGAUGGGGUGUGUGUGGUGUAACCUCAUUAAUUGUCUUUUAGCUGGGGUCCCCUACCCUUGUCAAGGAGGACCCUAUUGUUAAUUAUAAUUAAGCCUUGUUACGUUACUGUGCUUUCUACACAUAUCUCAAAUGGAUUUCAUAGGUUUCGGUUUUCAACCAAAAUUUAUGUGACAAAAAG
rnacentral:lncRNA from 1 species